GAAGCAGCAAGAAGGCAGAUGGCACCUCCUGCGCUCGGUGUGGACCGUCUCCUUGGCCAGAUGACCCCGUGUGUAAGGGGUCACAGCUCUGAAAUUUUUGGCCAAGCACUGAAGCCACGGCAGGUCCCUAUCUGAUGUGGGAGAGGCGGGGGUCCCUGGCCAGGGGGAGAGCAGGAGCAUUCUCGCCCGUGAACACGUCACAAUGUCGUUUAGAGCCCGAUCAUGCCGCCUACCAUUCCAGGUCGUUACCCAGAAGCAGCAAGAUGAUUAAAGAAUGGAAAUGGGUCAAGGGUGAAAUGGAUAACGAAACCCGGCCAAGAGAAGCAGAAUGAACUUCAGUGCUCCUGAAAGACGGGAUGGGUUUUACGACUAGAGUCAUCGUGAGGCCUGCAGCCCUACCAAGUGACAUUCCAGCGCAUCGUCACUCCGUUCCUGCCUACACUUCACGGUCCUUGGCCGUGUUUUUGGACUACAUCUCAGGGCAAAUCUGCUUUCUGAAGGGCUCUGCUUACUUCAAGUGAUGCCACACGUGCGGGAGGUAGUUGUAGCUGGCUUGACCUGCCUGAAGCGAGGAUGGAAACGGUACUGGAGGCACCAAUGGGUGCCGAUGCGGAAGAGGGGACUGGUAAGGGCUCUCCAGCCCGGGACUUUCCUCCUGCAUGGUAUAACCAUCCUUUUGAGCAAAAAAGAAGGGUACAAAUUCUGGCAAGUGCAUUGAGAAUAUUAAAAACCAAACUAUCCUGGAGGUUCUGGGGGAUGUGUUUGCCAAAGCCAAGGUAGAAUAGGUAAUUGAUUACCUGGCAGAAUUUGAAAGACCAUCACAGGAAGAUUUAUAUUAAAUAAUUAUUAUAUCAAAGAUAACACUUGUCAAUUCAGCUGCUGGUAUCUGAUUACAUGCACAAACUUUGGACAGUGUUUACAGAGGUUUGAAGAAAGUUAAGUUGAAUAAAUGUCUCACCUUAAAAGAAUGGGAAUUUUCUUUAAAAAAGCCAAAUGGAUCAAUCAUUUCAUCCCAUUAAAUCUAAAUUCCCAUGCAUGCUGUUUGGACAAGGAACAAAAUGACAGAUGUGCCAAUCUCAACAAGGGAGGAUCUUUGCACACGGUCUGUGGACAGUCAGCACAUAUCCUGACUACUGAAUCAUAAGGAAAAUACAUUUGUAGUACUCUACUGUAUUAACUGAAAAAAAAUAUGCAUAUCAGUGAGCCC